rnacentral:lncRNA from 1 species
UAAUGCCUCAAUGAGUACUCGGAGAGUAUAACCAACUAAAUGUUAGAGGCAGUGAAACCAAAACAUAAGUUAUAGAGGGCUCUUGCUUGCAAGAUCAUUUACAAAUGGAAGCCAAGGAUGGCCAUUUGGAGAACAUGACGUAGUAAUGCUGUCUUUCACCGUGUGAGAUGUAAGUUAUUUUCAUGUUCUACAAAUCGUCAAAAUAUUCAUUUCGUUUUUAUAUAUGAAGUAAUAAUUAUACAUAUAUUAUCUUCAUUGUUUUUUCCAAUACAGAUUAUCUUCUGCCUUAAAUAUUUCAACUAUUGCAAUCGUCCAGUCCCAUAAAUAAUUUUUUCAUUGCAAAAUAGGCUACACUUGAAGAUUAUAACAGAGUGCUGAGUCCUUAAAAUAUUUGAUCACAAGUGUAUUGUAGAGGACUCAUGACUCUUUGCAUCUGAUUAUUCUAUAUUGUCUAAUUUCUUCAUUCUCUGCUUAAUAUGUUUCUACAGUUUUCCUAUUAAUCAACAGUACACAACGUUUUACAAAUAGUUGUGGAAUUUAGUAACCAAGCAUAUCUAUGCAUAUUGAUUUUAGGUUUUAGAUAUGUGCUACAAAGAAAUCAGAGGGUUCAUGGACAUCUUUCUCAAUGAGUCAUAUUGUGUUAUUUCUCACUCAUGAACAAUGUAGUACUCUUUGUUAUGAGAAGCUUCAGUUUAUGCCUAUUACCUCUGUAUCAUUUGUUUUUCUUCUCAGUCACUUGACUUUCCCAAUGGAGGAAACUUCCAAUAGCUGGUGGAAGCUCACAUUUUUACGCAAGAAGAAAUCCACUCCAAAAACUGUUUAUGAAUCCGUAGGGGAACAUGCUGGAACCGAAAAAGGAGCAGAGGGAACCAAUGGAGACAGCAACUACACUCAACGCCUGGAAAAAAUAGUGGAUAAAAACACAAAGGGGAAACACGUAAAAGUGUCCAACUCAGGGAGGUUUAAGGAGAGGAAGAAAGUUCGGCCUGCACUAAAUGAUACUCCUGGAAUUUGUCCAGAGCCUCCACCAGGCCAAUAAGGAAGUGGAAUCCCUGGACUGUGCAUCAGGUGCUACUCUGGGCAACAUGGCAUCAAAACCAUCAAACUGUGCACUAAGCCCCAUUCUACUUAUCGAUAUGGCAGCUGGAAGAUGAUUGUCCUCAGCACUGGGAGGUAUGCGUGUAAACCUUUUUGAAGGCCAUAAUAUCCAUUGAGGAAAAGCAGCCUUUAACCCGCUUUUUAAGGCAAUAUUAUACUGAUUUCUACACUGUUUACAGACGUUAACCUCCAGCACGAAUAUAUAAAAUAUGUCAAUUUUUCCCUUUGCACUUAUAUGGAUGUAUGGCUUAGGCCCAACAUGCUCCUGCAUACAUGGCCUCGUCUUCUUCAACAUGUAUCACUAAUUAGCAGCUUUCUACUAAAUCUUGUGUUUGCUGCUUAUCAACAACCGUGUGUGCAGUAGUCCAGUCUGAUACACCAACACAAGGCAGCACAAGGAAGUUGGACUUCAACUCAUAACUCUGCCAGUUGAAGCCACUUAUUUCUCAGGAAGAGACAUUUACAUAUGUCUGUGUGCAUAACAGCAUGUACAGUGUCCAUGUGUGAGUACACGUGAUAAAGAUAUACUGUGUUUAGUAGUUAAUACUCAGUAUAUUACAUAUUCACAUACUGAACCUCUGUGUCAUAUGUGUGUAUCCAAUAUACAUGUGGUGACUUAAGUCAAUUAUAUGCUAAUUGGCAUGAUAAGUGGCCAAACCUUUGUAUAAAUCUGAUUGUAAACUUAUCAUAUGAAGAGAAUUCAAUUUUAAACCAAAAAUGCAAGAUUUCCUAAAUUAAAAAACCAAACCAAAACAUUUUUAUAUCCUAUUUUGACCUCUGUCCUUGUGUUAAUGUAUUUGAUCUGUAAGUGGUUUCUAGAAAGGUCUGUAAUAUAUUUCACAAUUGUGAGGCACUGAUUACUUUGUUAGCAAUUAUGUCUAUCAUUUCUAAUAUUAAAACAAACAGCAAGUUAAUAAUUAACUACCAAUUCUUUUUGCUAGCAGUGGUUGUUUAUUGAUGUACGAACAGAGAUUUAACUGACAUCAAUGACCUACCAGUAUCUAUAUCACUUUAGAGUUAAUGUUUUCACAAGUUAAUACAUAUAAUGUCUCCAAGGAACUAAGAUGGCAGCCCGUAGUAAAAAACAAAAACGAAAAUGUCUCUGAUAUAUAUCAAAGAUGGCUACAAUGUAAAAGAAUGUUGAUGACAUUUGAGUUAUAUCUUACAAAUUUUUUUUAUACAACUGUGGUGGUGCAUAUUGAAUACAUCUUCUGUAUUUACAUGCGCAUUUCCAGUACAUAAUUUAAGUAUGUAUACCGCCAUGCUUCAAAAACGAUACCUGCGGGCAAAAAGCCAUUGUUUUUUCUGCAUAAUAUGUAUGGGUGUAUGUAUAUAGUUGUUUUGUAUUUGCUUGUACAAGAAGCUGGGAUAAUUGUCCAGCUUUCUGGUUUUUAACAUUUCUACUAGUAAAUAAAUUACACGGAAUUGUAUUGUUGCCUAGGUGAAUGGUUCACAUGUGUCUGUACGUUCUUCUUUUGGACAUAAUUGGUCUGCAAAUUUUAAAUUCGUACCUGUAACUAGGCCAGAUAUAUUUAUUGAUGACACCAUUAUGGGAAUCCCUUUUUCCUGUCCAACACGUAUGCCAACUACUGGCGCACAUUAAAUCUGGAUAUAGCUUGCGUGUAAUCCAGAUUCCUGCGUGACUCAUGCCUCAACUAUUAAUCACUGUGCCAUAUUUGGUUUUAAGCUUUUGCAUGUACCCACGCCUGUUUUCAUUUCUGUUUUCCUGUCGUUAAUCUGUGUGGCACAUUCCUGUAGUCCUAUUAUUGUUCAGUAUACCUCAUUACGUACAGUGCUCUUUCCUAUGUAUUCCUGUAUGUCAUGUUCCUUUUAAACAGAUUCCAUCAAGAACAUUCUGUUUUAAUUCUGACAUGCAGUUUGGUUACAAAAUUCAGAUUGUAGAUUAUGAGGACUGCAGACCACGUUGUGGCACAUUUUUGAACAUUUGGGUUUACUAAUAAAAGUCAAAGGCUCAACAAAUAGGUUGCUUGACCUGAACCACAACUGUAUUGUCUGUAGUGGCAAUAAUCCACAACAUUUUCCACAUGAGAUAAACUAGAGCAGACUCUGCUCAGGAACACCAUUCCACUUGACAUGAUUUCCCAUGUUAUUUCUAGGUUCUCAUGUUCUGAUGUGGCAGGAUAUCAGUGCACAUAGCCUUGAACUGCAAAUCGAAAGGACAUUAAAUCCAUCGUCUUAUGACAUAUCCCCUUUCCCAGCUUCUUUCAGUAUUACAUGGCCCUGCUUAUGGACACUCUUUUAGAAUACUGUGGGUUUUAUUCAAUAAACUGCAAUCUACAAUAGUUUCCCCUUGCAAAUUUGAUUUUAUCCUUAAGUUUAUUUUAAAUUAAUGUUUUUUUCCUUUCUAAUUCUUAAAUACCUCCACCAAAAUUCUGUUCUCCUAUAAUAGGGACUCCAGAUGUUGUGGACUACAACUACCUUGAUGCUUUGCCAGCAUUAUGGCUGUUAGAGCGUUAUGGGAGAUGUAAUCCACAACAUCUGGAGUGCCAAAUUGUUGCAUACCUCUGUUAACAUUCUAUUCCACAAAAUAUUGAGAACUGGAAAAAAACAAACAAGUCUUCAGUUUUCUUUAUGAGUGAGACCUCAUCUAUGAUGAUCUAAAAUUAAGGGACUCACUGACCGGACAUUGAUUCCGACUUGAUUCAAUAGUGGUGGACAGAGUGUGUCAGGAUACAAUGUCCAAUCAGGGAAGUAAAGAGAGGCUGCAUCCAGUAGCAAAAAUGUCCGGAUGGCCUCCAAUCUCCAAUUACUAUCUCACAAACCCAUAUAGACCAUCUUAGAGGGAAUGUAUUUUGCUAUUCUAAUUGUUAUGGCCAUCUCAUCGUAAUUACAUCUUACGGAACAUGGGACUACAGGAUUUUCCAUCUAGAGGGAGGAUGAUUCAUUAUAUUGAGGGGAACGCUACAAUACUUAUCAUAUUGUGUGAUUACAUGCAGUGGUGUAUCCUGGUUUUGUGCUGCCCUAGGCAGGACAAAACUCAGGCGCCCCCC